UUUCCGUAGGUGAACCUGCGGAAGGAUCAUUAUCGUACAAAAUGUGAGGGGCAUGCGAGGGCUGUCGCUGACCCAAAAGUCGUGCACGCCCGAGUGUGUCCUCUUGCAUAAUAAUCCAUCUCACCCUUUGUGCAUCACCGCGUGGGCACCCUUCGGGAUCAUCUCGGAGGGGGGCUCGCGUUUUCACACAAACCCCCCUUUUAAAAGGGUAGAAUGACCACAUUUAUGCAACCAAUACAACUUUCAACAACGGAUCUCUUGGCUCUC
rnacentral:misc_RNA from 1 species